GGAGGCCUUUUUCUAAACUUGGCCUUUAAACAAAACAAAACCAAACAAAACACCCACCCACCCAGAGGUCCCAGGAGCCUGCGCAUUAAAGCGAGCUGUGCAGCGGCUCUCCCGCCGGUUUUCUGCGAAAUGUAGUACAGUGGGCACCCGCAGGGUGGAGUGCAAAUGGCCGUGUCCUUGCGGGAUAGAAAAGGAGGUGCCGGAAACUUUGAACCUUGGCCAGAGUACAACGUGUCCACUUAGACGGCGCUUUGAGAGAUGACCUUAAUCUGAUCUCAUCUGGAUGGAGCUGCCUCGCUGGGAAGAACAGUAAAGAACCUUAUGUUGAAUCUUAAAAUGCAGAAAAUACUUGAAUGUUGGUUCGUUGAGCUUGAUUUUCUUGGUAUCAAAGAACAGUGUAACAGGACUUUUAUUAAGUGCCAACGUGCUAUGUCAAACCUUGAUUUAUGGAGAAACUAAUAAUAAAAUUCUAAUUGCACUGUGA